UACCUACGGGGCGCAGCAGUGGGGAAUAUUGCACAAUGGGCGAAAGCCUGAUGCAGCAACGCCGCAUGAAGGAAGAAGGUUUUCGGAUUGUAAACUGCUUUAGAUAGGGAAGAUAAAAGACUGUACCUAUAGAAUAAGCUCCGGCUAACUACGUGCCAGCAGCCGCGGUAAUACGUAGGGAGCAAGCGUUAUCCGGAUUUAUUGGGUGUAAAGGGUGCGUAGACGGGAAUUUAAGUUAGUUGUGAAAUCCCUCGGCUUAACUGAGGAACUGCAACUAAAACUGAAUUUCUUGAGUGCGGGAGAGG
rnacentral:rRNA from 1 species